UACGCGUCAACGUAGCUUGCUCCGGAUGUUAGCGGCGGACGGGUGAGUAACACGUGGGUAACCUGCCUGUAAGACUGGGAUAACUCCGGGAAACCGGAGCUAAUACCGGAUAGUUCCUUGAACCGCAUGGUUCAAGGAUGAAAGACGGUUUCGGCUGUCACUUACAGAUGGACCCGCGGCGCAUUAGCUAGUUGGUGAGGUAACGGCUCACCAAGGCGACGAUGCGUAGCCGACCUGAGAGGGUGAUCGGCCACACUGGGACUGAGACACGGCCCAGACUCCUACGGGAGGCAGCAGUAGGGAAUCUUCCGCAAUGGACGAAAGUCUGACGGAGCAACGCCGCGUGAGUGAUGAAGGUUUUCGGAUCGUAAAGCUCUGUUGUUAGGGAAGAACAAGUGCAAGAGUAACUGCUUGCACCUUGACGGUACCUAACCAGAAAGCCACGGCUAACUACGUGCCAGCAGCCGCGGUAAUACGUAGGUGGCAAGCGUUGUCCGGAAUUAUUGGGCGUAAAGGGCUCGCAGGCGGUUUCUUAAGUCUGAUGUGAAAGCCCCCGGCUCAACCGGGGAGGGUCAUUGGAAACUGGGAAACUUGAGUGCAGAAGAGGAGAGUGGAAUUCCACGUGUAGCGGUGAAAUGCGUAGAGAUGUGGAGGAACACCAGUGGCGAACGCGACUCUCUGGUCUGUAACUGACGCUGAGGAGCGAAAGCGUGGGGAGCGAACAGGAUUAGAUACCCUGGUAGUCCACGCCGUAAACGAUGAGUGCUAAGUGUUAGGGGUUUCGCCCCUUAGUGCUGCAGCUAAGGCAUUAAGCACUCCGCCUGGGGAGUACGGUCGCAGACUGAAACUCAAAGAUUGACGGGGCCGCCCAAGCGGUGGAGCAUGUGGUUUAUUCGAACAACGCGAAAACCUUACCAGUCUUGACUCUCUCUGACACCCUGGGAUAG
rnacentral:rRNA from 1 species